rnacentral:lncRNA from 1 species
AGGGUCAUCUAAGAUAUUUUCCAGAACUGUAGCAGGUGCAGCAGUGCGAAACUGCAGACCAAUCCUGCCAAGAUGCACCAGGGUGUCACUGUGUGGGACCUCAUAAAGUGAUGGCUUUCCUGUCGCUAUGCAGACCUGCCCCGGGCCCCGGGAUGCCAGAGGUGACCUUCGAAGUACGAGCCGAGUUGCUGCCCUCAUCUCCGCACCGUGAGAGUGGAAGACCAACUGGCAGAGAUCAGUCCACACACAC